AUGAAAAGUUUAUACUUAGAUUUUCUGCAGCACGUGCCUAAAGUUGAGUGGGGCGACAUCCGGUCUCCGGGGUCCACGGUAGCUGAGCUCAGCCACUUCUUCGACGAACUCCUCCUCUCUUCUUCCUCUCACACCAGAUCAGCUGAUGUAGAGGGAGGAAGAGAGUUGCUGAGGGAUUAUCUUUCUCAAAUAUCUACCAACUUUUUCGUGGAUUUGACCUAA
rnacentral:lncRNA from 1 species